UACGUAGGUGGCAAGCGUUGUCCGGAUUUACUGGGUGUAAAGGGUGCGCAGGCGGACUUGUUAGUCAGAGGUGAAAUCUCACUGCUCAACAGUGAAACUGCCUUUGAUACUGCAGGUCUUGAAUCCAGAAGAGAGUUGUGGAAUUCCGAGUGUAGCAGUGAAAUGUGUAGAUAUUCGGAAGAACACCAGCGGCGAAGGCAGCAACUUGGUCUGGUAUUGACGCUCAGGCACGAAAGCAUGGGGAUCAAACAGG
rnacentral:rRNA from 1 species